GCCCGCGUGGGGUAGCUAGGAUAUCCUAGAGGGUUGCGGACCCUCCGACUCGGGUUCGAAUCCCGACGCGGGCG
rnacentral:tRNA from 1 species